GAAAGCGGUGUGCUGGGAAACUUGCUCGCACCGUUUGGACGGGGGCUAAUUGUAAAUAAAACAGUAAAGACAAAUCGCUGCAUAAAACGCAACUAAUCUAUCCGUAU
rfam:Candidatus Phytoplasma aurantifolia strain WBDL phyWBDL_0089, whole genome shotgun sequence.